CCUACGGGUGGCUGCAGUGGGGAAUAUUGGACAAUGGGCGAAAGCCUGAUCCAGCCAUGCCGCGUGUGUGAAGAAGGCCUUCGGGUUGUAAAGCACUUUCAGUGGGGAAGAAAGCCUUGGGGCUAAUACCCUCGAGGAAGGACAUCACCCACAGAAGAAGCACCGGCUAACUCCGUGCCAGCAGCCGCGGUAAUACGGAGGGUGCGAGCGUUAAUCGGAAUUACUGGGCGUAAAGCGCGCGUAGGCGGUCUGAUAAGCCGGUUGUGAAAGCCCCGGGAUCAACCUGGGAACGGCAUCCGGAACUGUCAGGCUAGAGUGCAGGAGAGGAAGGUAGAAUUCCCGGUGUAGCGGUGAAAUGCGUAGAGAUCGGGAGGAAUACCAGUGGCGAAGGCGGCCUUCUGGACUGACACUGACGCUGAGGUGCGAAAGCGUGGGUAGCAAACAGGAUUAGAUACCCGUGUAGUC
rnacentral:rRNA from 1 species